UACGGAGGGAGCUAGCGUUGUUCGGAAUUACUGGGCGUAAAGCGCGCGUAGGCGGCUUUGUAAGUUAGAGGUGAAAGCCCGGGGCUCAACCCCGGAACUGCCUUUAAAACUGCAUCGCUUGAAUCCGGGAGAGGUGAGUGGAAUUCCGAGUGUAGAGGUGAAAUUCGUAGAUAUUCGGAGGAACACCAGUGGCGAAGGCGGCUCACUGGCUCGAUACUGACGCUGAGGUGCGAAAGCGUGGGGAGCAAACAGG
rnacentral:rRNA from 1 species